GCCGGGUGUGGUGGUGGGCACCUGUAAUCCCAGCUACUCAGGAGGCUGAGGCAGGAGAAUUGCUUGAACCCGGGAGGUGGAGGUUGCUGUGAGCUGAGAUCACGCCACCGCACUAAUCUCAGCCACUGCACUCCACCCCGGGUGACAGAGCAAGACUCCAUCUCAA
rnacentral:SRP_RNA from 1 species